rnacentral:tRNA from 1 species
UAGUUUAAUGGAAUUAAACUUGUUAGAAUACAAAUCUAAACUUAACGGACGUGGGUUCAAUUCCCACCAGCUCCA